CCUUGUACACACCGCCCGUCACACCACGAAAGUCGUCAGCACCCGAAAUUGUUUUAGCUAACCUUAAUCGGAAGCGGGCAAUGAAGGUGAGGGGGAUGAUUGGGGUG
rnacentral:rRNA from 1 species